AUCCAGCUGACGAGUCCUAAACAGGAAAAAACGCGCGUCCUGGAU
rnacentral:hammerhead_ribozyme from 1 species